GCGCGCGCGGGUCAGAAGAGCGCCAACAUAAAUGAGGUAAACAAACGGAGACACGAUGUUUAGAAGCGCUGCGGCGGGCGAGGGCCUUCGCGAGGAGCUGCCGCGGGCUCGUGAGGCGACAGCAGCCGCCGGAUUUACGAGCGGAGCGCCGCGGCGCGCGGGGCAGAGGGAGAGAAAUGGCGCGGGCGUCUUUCGCAGCGGCGGGCGACGGACGGGGAGUUGAGGGCUGGACGCGAGACGACCGAAGGCAGCUCCCGCGCACGUGAACGCCCGCCGGAGCCUCACACGCAAUCGCUACGCCGCUCUGCAGCCGAGGCGUCAAAGCAGAGUAAAUAAAACAAUAUGAUCUCCGCCGGUUUAAUGAUUGCAAGCGGUCCAAUUCGUCUCCGCGACGGCAGGAAACACCGGCCUAGAAGUGGACCGUGGCGGGAGCCGCUGCUGCCGCUGUCGCCGAUACCACCACCGCCGCUGCCGCCGGUUAAACCGUAGCUGUGAGAUUCAUUUUUCCUGUGUAUAAUGUUAUUGUUGUUGUUCCCCCCCCCCCGACUCCUACCUCCCCCACACUGCGCGACUAUCGCCGGCAUCGCACGAGACGAAGAACCCAUCGGGAUCUCUCACAGCGGAGCGGCGCGUGUCACUCCGUACACAGACGGCGAAUCGGUGCGCUUCCAUCACCGGGCACACCUCGCCGACCGGCUCGCUCGCGGCUGCCACCAAUUACCACGGCCCCCCCGCUCGCCGAGCGACGACUGCCGCGGCACUCGCCGCACCUCCACCCCCCACUCUUCUCCCCCCCCCCCCCACCCCCCCCCGGGAGGAGACGCCACGGCAACCGAGCAGCGGGACUCUCGGAUACCCGCCCCUGCCGCCCCGACGCGGGGCGCCGCCGGCGCCCGACGUUGCCAAGGAGCUCACGGCGUGGAGAUGCCGGACGUACGUACGGACGGAGAGACAGACGGACAAACACCUUGUCGGCCCUCGUGCGUUCUCUCUGGCUGUCCGCAUGUAAGUCACGGAGUCACAUGGACAGAGCGGCUGGGGCACGCUGCUGGCGGCCGCCACGCUACACUUCUCCUCGAAGGUUUUGUCGACGAACACAAGGGGGGCGGGAAUUCCGGCGAUGGCAGGAGGGAAGGCCCGAAGCCCCACCGCAGGGUGAAUGCACGGAGAGCCUUGUUUACAAAACCAGUCAAUAGAUAGAUAAACCGCCCCUGCCGGCAGCAUCCCCCCUCUAGCCCAGGAACGUUGCAAAUGACCCGCCACCCCUCCACCCCUGUACAUGUACAGCCCCGGUGGUGUUAGCGGUGGUUGUUUGGGUGGUGAUGGUUGCUUAGGUUAUUAUGGCAGCGGCGGUUUACAUGGUGGUGGUGAUAGUUGUGAUGAAUUAGAUGCUCGUGGUUGUUGUUUAUGUUUGCCGUGGUUGGUGGGCCGUACCCUCUCCUCGUAGGCUCACUCGACGCCACGCUCCGCCGAUCCAGGUGCCGCGGUUUCUCCACCUCCCACUGCAGCAAC